AUCAGCAGUGGAGGAUGCAACGGAUUGGCGGUUGCAACUUGCAAAAAAAUCCAAGCAACCAAUAUCCAAACAUCGAGGUCAACCCACCAAAACACUUCCCUCAACCUUCUUUCUCUCUGGAUCUUCGAAGCUUUUCUCUUUUGUUUCUGGAGUUUCAGGCCAUAAGGACAAGCAGCUUGCCAUUUUAUGGAUAAAAACGCACAUGGAAAGCCGACCUCAGAGGAUGUGACUCGGGAGUCACUUAUUGCCAUCUCUAAUUCAGUACCAGAUCAUGCUCUCCCUUCAGAACCAAAAACUCUGAAUACUGAGAAUCUGGUUAAAGGGGCAAACUGCAAUGAUGGAUCAGAAAAGUAUAGGUCUCAACUGAUCUCGAUUUCCAACGUGCAAUCAACAGAGCCGAGGACCUUACCAGCUGCACUGGGGGAACCCAAGGGUUAGCUUAGACAGCUGUUUCAUGCCAAUCUGCUUAUGAGAUAAGCACAAAUCACAUGGUCAAUUGCAGUGUAGAGCUAGACUAGUACAUACCUACUGUCUAGUUUGUGCAAUGCCAUAUACACUUCUUGCAAUUACUGGUUAGAAUAAAAAUAAACCUCAGACAUGUGGGUGACCAUGCUUGUUACACAAGGAAAAACUUCACAGAGGAAGUGAGUUUCUUUCCUUGCAUACCCUCUUCUUUCUGCUUUUUUAUGUCUUUGUUGAAACUGCAAAGUACUUAGCAAUUUUGACAUAAUACCAGUAUGCAUGAUCAUCAAGGAUUAUCCAAUCUUUCAUGGUGUUUGUAUUUCUUCUA